UACCAGCACCCCGAGUGGUCGGGACGUUUAUUGGGCCUAAAGCAUCCGUAGCCGGUUCUACGAGUCUUCCGUUAAAUCCAACUGCUUAACAGGUGGGCUGCGGAAGAUACUAUAGAGCUAGGAGGCGGGAGAGGCAAGCGGUACUCGAUGGGUAGGGGUAAAAUCCGUUGAUCCAUUGAAGACCACCAGUGGCGAAGGCGGCUCGCCAGAACGCGCUCGACGGUGAGGGAUGAAAGCUGGGGGAGCAAACCGG
rnacentral:rRNA from 1 species